rnacentral:tRNA from 4 species
GCGGGUGUAGCUCAACUGGAUAGAGCAUCGGUCUACGAAACCGAAGGUUACAGGUUCGAGUCCUGUCAUCCGCG